GAGCUCCUGGGAGCUCUUCCCAGUCAGGAUGGCGGCUGCCACAGUUGAGCCGUGCCCCUGAGCAGGAUGGGGACACAGGACCGACGGGGAGUCACUGGCAACCCCGAAGUAUGGUGAUGUGGGGGUGUCUGAUGUCCCCUCCAUGAGACCCCGGAUUGUUCCGUGAGGCCUGGGGACGAGAAGCAAAGCCACCUGGGAAUGUUCCAGCUCUUGACCUGAGGGCAGAGGAGUGGCUGGGUGCCAUGUGAGAACUGGGGAGCUCGAACCUGGGUCCUUGUGCAUUGUAACAUGUGCUCUCAACUCGGUGCGCCAUCACCCGGCCCCAGACUCGCGUGUUCCUGGGCAAGCCACAUGUGAUCCUGUCUUCUCCUCGGCAUCUCUGCGUGGAGCCUUGGGAGGGAGACGAUGCCCCUCGGAAGUUGUGCCGCCUCCUCCAGGCAGGCUGCUGGCACCUCUCCCUGCAGCUCCCGGCAGUGAGGAGGGGGCCCGUGAGUGACUGUUUUCCUCCCCACAAAGAGGGUGCUGCCCCCACAGGGUACUGGAGAGACUGCUCUACAGGGAAGGAGGCCCCUGUGUCUUCACCCCAGCUCUGACCCAGGGCGCCUUGGCACUGACGCUGCCUGAGGCCUUGAGCUGGGGUAUGUGUGAGCAGAGCGGGAAGGCUGCCCGUGGCCGCCUGGGCCUGGGCCAUGAGGCCGCUGGCUGGGCCCUCAGCCCAUUUACACAGGCCAGAAUGCACUGGGGGGUGGGUUGGGGGGACCCCUGGACCUGGCUAAAGGAGGACGGUCUCUGAUCAGGGUCCCCAGGGAGCAGCCAGCCCCAGGGCGCCUUAAGGGCUGGCAAAGGUUGCUCAGAGACUCGGGGAACAUUUGAUAUCCAGAAGUUUCCAGGUAUGUGGAGCCCCUGCCUGGCAGCCCCCAUCACCCCCUGGCCCUCACCCCCUUUCUGACCCCCCACAGCCCUCAGCAAGGUCUAGAGGGGGCUCACUGUCAUCUGGAGGCCAGCAGCUGCCCCAGUGCUCUGGGAGGUGCCCUGCCGCCUGGCAUGGGACACACUUUCUGUUUCCCGGGAGCCUUGAGCCCUGCCCCCCAACCUGAGGCCUUGUUGUAGGGACUGAGUUGCGUGGGUACUGCCUCCCACCUACACUAUUAAAGCCAUGCCCGAGAGAGGUGGCCAGCAACCGCUGGGGCUCCCAGUCCCCAAGUCCCCAGGUCUGUAAGUCAUGUAUUCAGGCCGAGCAGAGCGGGAGCCUGUGUGUGGAUGCCCCCAGACCCAGGGUCUGCGGUCAGCCGGGGUCCUUGAUUCUGUCUGUGCGUCAUCCCUGCUCCCAAAGCGAGGCCGGGUCAGCCUAGCUUGAUACUCUGGGUUCUGUCACGAAACAUGGUGCAGAAGCCUCUUCCGUGGGGACCGGCCGCUCUGGC